AACGAACGCUGGCGGCAGGCCUAACACAUGCAAGUCGAACGAAGUCUUCGGACUUAGUGGCGCACGGGUGUGUCGCACGUGGGAAUAUACCUUACGCUGGGGGAUACCAUCGGGAAACUGAUGAUAAUACCGCACACGCCCUUCGAGGGAAUGAUUUAUCGACGAAAGUUUAGCAGGCGUCCGAUUAGCUAGUUGGUGAGGUAAUGGCUCACGACGGCUCCGAUCGGUAGCUGGUCUGAGAGGAUGACCAGCGACUCUGAGACUGAGACGCGGCCCAGACUCCUACGGGAGGCAGCAGAGGGGGAUAUUGGACAACGGGCGCAAUCCUGAACCAGCCAGGCCGCGUAAGUUAUGAAAUCCUUAAAGUAGUAAAGCGCAAUCAACCGCGACGAUGAUGACGGUAGUGGGAGAAAAAGCCCCGGCUAACUUCGUG
rnacentral:rRNA from 1 species